GAGAUAGCUCGGUUGGUUAGAGUGUGGUGCUGAUGACGCCACGGUUGCAGGUUUGAUCCCCAUAAGGAACA